AUGGCGUCCGGCGAGGCCUCGGCAUCGGCAUCCGCGUCGGCGGAUCGAAUCCGCGUGGUCGGCGCGUGGGCCGGCGCCCUGGAGGUGGAGCUGGGCGCCUGGACGGUGCCGAUGCUGCGGGCGGAGGUGGCGCGGCGGGCCGGGGACGUGGAGCCCGACCGCGUCGGCCUCAUCUUCGGCGGCCGCGUGCUCAAGGACGAUCCCGCCGGCGUCUCGCUGCAGCAGGCCGGCCUAAAGAGCAACGCCAAGGUGCUCUCCACCCUCGCCUCCCCCGAUCGCGGCAAGGCCCUCGCCGCCGAGGCCGCCGCCGCCGCGGCCGAGGAGGAGCACUCCAACAAGCUCGUCAGGCUCUGUAAUAGAAUACCACAAUGUUUUUGUAGGGAUGCUGCACAAGCAUUAUCUCAAAGGCAUUCAGAUGGCUCUCUCCUUGAUGAAAACUUCAACAUAGCUCUCGAGGACCAGAGCGGACAAAAAGUGAUGUUUGGAUCUGCAGAUGAUAUGAAGGCUUUGAAGAUGGCUCUAAUGCUUCAUCAAAAGGCAAAAGUUCUUAUCAAGAAGAACAUGUAUAAGGAGGCACUGGAUGUUUUGAUGAUGUCCGAGGAAGCCUUCUCUCUUUGUGACAAUAAACUCAUUGAGAGAGUUGAUAAUGUGCCAAUGCUUCAACUGGAUAUAGUCUGGUGUUAUUUUAUGCUUCGUGAUGUAUCACGCUUAGAAGUUGCAGGGGCUCGCCUAAACAAGGCUAGGUUAGGAUUUGAACUUUCCCACGGUAAAGACUCCACGCGCUUCAGAUUACUUCAGGCUGCCCGUCAUGCAGAUCUGGCUCUCUAUGUAAGGCUGGAGCUUUUGGAAGGAGUGGUAGCAUAUUAUAAUGGUAAUACUGAAAAGGCACGUGGCUCUCUCAGUUCUGCACAAUCUAAAUACAUGCAGCUGCAAGUACCAGAUGAAGCUAUAGCAAUGUUAACGGAUAUGGGCUAUGACGCACGAGCAUCAAAAAGAGCACUAAAGAUGACUGGCUAUGAUAUUCAAUCUUCUGUUGAUCUCUUAUGUGAGGAGCGUGAAAAGAAAAUUCGUAGAAGGGAGCAGGACAUUGAGACACAAAGAGAGAUAAUGGAACAAAGGAGAUAUGGUAAAACUCCCAUGAACAAGGCAGUUGAUAUGCAGAAGUUGAAAGGCUUGACUACUAUCGGGUUUGAGAAGUACCUUGCUGCAGAAGCACUCCGCAUAAAUGAAAAUGAUGCUGAGAAAGCGUUAGAUCUUUUGACAAAUCCUGAACUGAACUGUGCCCUACAAAGUAAAAUUCAGUCAAGGAGGAAACGACCACUUCAUGUCUUGGGUGCAGGACCAUUGGGAGCCGGGGCUGCUGCUCCUGUGGCUGCCGCAGCGGCGGGUAACGCCCCACCACAGAUCCCAGAUCUAAACGCUGCCGAGGGCGACAAUCAGGAGCAGCUUGUGAACAACGAAGAAGAAGCUGCGAACAACGAGGCAGAAGCUUUGCCCAACGACACAGAAGCCAUGGCCAAUGAAGAAGCCGUGAACCAAGACCAAGACAUGGGUGACGAAGAGGAGGAGGAAUUGAUCGAGGAAGAAGCGGGCGCGAGUCACGCGCAAGGUCCGGUCAGGGACGUGGCGAUGGAGAACGAGCUCGCCAACGAGCUGACGGGCGACGCCCUGGACGACUACGACAUCGACGUCGCCAACGAAGGGCAUGCCAUCGCGGAGUACCUGAGCCUUCUGGAGUCCGCCGCUGCUGCUGCGGCUGCGGCUGCUAGCUCUUGA
rnacentral:rRNA from 1 species